UCAAAGCAAACACUGUAAUUUGUGGCUGAAAUACCAGCCUGUUAGCAAGGUGCUUUGCAAGCUGCGGCGCCUUGAGCAAGGAGGUCCAUGUGAGUUAGAAGUUCUUGGAAAGAAGGGUAUGGUCCAAUUAAAUGGAAGGUCCAUGUGAGUUAGAAGUUCUUGGAAAGAAGGGUAUGGUCCAAUUAAAUGGAAGGUCCAUAAGUUCAGGCACAAAAGUUCCCCUUACAGGAGGGGAUGAAGUCAUAUUCAAUUCAUGCGGCAACCAUGCUUAUAUUUUUCAGCAUCCUUUGAGUGACAAAGUUCCUAAAACGGUGCCAUCAUCUGCUGUUAGCCUUAUAGAAUCUCCGGUUGCUAGCGUAAAG